GGACGAACGCUGGCGGCGUGCUUAACACAUGCAAGUCGAACGGGGCAAUUGAAAGCUUGCUUUUGAGAGCCUAGUGGCAAACGGGUGAGUAACGCGUAAGCAACCUGCCCUUCAGUGGGGGACAACAGUUGGAAACGACUGCUAAUACCGCAUAACACUUUUUGGGGACAUCCCCGAAAAGUCAAAGCUUUAUGUGCUGAAAGAUGGCCUCGCGUCUGAUUAGCUAGUUGGCGGGGUAACGGCCCACCAAGGCGACGAUCAGUAGCCGGUCUGAGAGGAUGAACGGCCACAUUGGGACUGAGAUACGGCCCAGACUCCUACGGGAGGCAGCAGUGGGGAAUAUUGGGCAAUGGGGGAAACCCUGACCCAGCAACGCCGCGUGAAGGAAGAAGGCCCUCGGGUUGUAAACUUCUUUUACCAGGGACGAAGGACGUGACGGUACCUGGAGAAAAAGCAACGGCUAACUACGUG
rnacentral:rRNA from 1 species